AUUCUUUUAAUAUACAAUCAAAAUGGCUGCAGAUCAUCCCAGUUUGAAGUCACUGUGGUUAGAUAUUAUGCGGUUAGUUUCUAAACAAAGACAAGACACACUUGUAAAUAAUUUCAUGAGGAAUACAAAAAAGAGUGAAAAACAAGAAUAUGAAGAAAACAUGUUGAUGGAAGGUGCUGUGAUUCAUUUCCCCAGGAAUUGCUUACUGGCUGGACAGGAAAUAAACGGUGUUUGGCUGUCACUUUCUCUUGACGGCCAAGAGAGACCCAAACGGCUGCCUUACGGCACACAAUGUUGUGAAAUACCCGUCGAUGAAAUAUUCAAUUUCUUAAAACAUAAACCAAAUAAUGUGGAAUUAAAUGGAUCUACCAAUAAUUUAGAGGAAGGUGAAGCAAAGAGAGAAACGUUUGGAAAAAACAAAGGGAAAAAAAGCCAUUUAUUUGAAGAUGAGGGGAAAACUUUGUAUAUACGCGACCCAGAGUCAAACUCUAGCAAUGAAAAUCCGAAAGGAUGCAGCAAAGGAAAGAAGAACCAAAAAAGAAACAAAAUAAAAACAGAGUAUUUGUUUUCAGCAAACCGCAAAACAUGGAAAAGAGAAGAUUUUUUGAAAGACCCUGAUUCACACGAGAAGAAAUCAUUUGAAAUAAAAACAGAAAAGUCAGUGGAGAAAAGUGAAAAUAUGAAAGAUCCUUUAUUGUUUUUUGAAACUGCUUAUUUUUUUCAACAAUGUACUCAGUAUAUUCGAAUGGUGCUGAUAUCGGCAUGGGAUCACCACGUUCAGUGGUGCAAGGAAAAUCUGUAUGAAGUUCCUUUGUCGCUAAACCCCAUUUUUCAGUGGAAAAACGAAAAACUCACUUCAGUAAGUGAUGUUCAUCCUAACCUUAUCGUUGAGGUUCUAGUAGUUGGUGAUAUCGAUUUGCGAAUGAUAAAAAGAUCUUGGUAUACCGUUAGAAAGAGCAGCCGUGCACGUACGGAGCCUACUAUAGGCGUUCUAGAACCCAUUAAGUAUUUUUUGAAAACCCGUUUGUAAAUAGGUACGUUGUAAUUGUAUGCUAUCAAGUUAGCAAUCAAACCAAGGCAGUCAGCCAAAUUCAGUAAAUUUUCGGAAAUGCAUUUUCCAAGAAAGUAAAAAGAAAGUAGAGAUAUUGAAUACGUGGUGUUUUUUAUCGUAGACGUAGCGACGACAUUAAAUGAAUGCCAAUAUUUCAUUUAUCAGAUAACCUUAUGUUUACUAUCUAUAAAUCAUCAAUUGAUUACCAAAAUAGAUGCAUGUUUAUUAACACGUGCAUAUUGAAUGUUUUGAAAACACUAAAGACCCGUGUAAGAUGGAGAAUUAAUCAAACUUGAAUACGCAUUUGUUGGUUAGAUUAAUCCAGUAUUGAGCAGACAAAAAUAUUCUAAGGUAGUUUAGUAAGUCCUAGUUAUUUCAUUUGAAUAAUUAGUAUUCUUUGUAUACAUGUUAACAAAAAAAAUUAAGAGUAAAAUUAAUGCACAGUCAUGGUAGAUUGAAAAUAUUUUCCGUUGAUCUUAUGAAAUUACGAAUGUAAAUUAAGAAUACUUGUUUGUUCAAAAUAAAAGAAAAUUAUAU
rnacentral:sRNA from 1 species